GAAUCAUCCUUUCUAUUCAGCCAUCCGGAAGGAGCUUGGCUAUCUCAACAGGAUGGCAAAAGACAAGAGCUUAAUCUAUUCUGGGAGAACCUAAAAGAAACACAACCCAUUCGGAGCACUACAGAGCCACUUUUCUCCAUCCAGCCUUGGGAUCUGUGACCUCAUGAUUUGUGGACAGUGAGCAGGAAAGGAACAAAAUGGUGCAAGUAUGGGGCUGCGUGCAGAGUGCAUGGCCAUUGAAAUA